UACGUAGGUGGCAAGCGUUGUCCGGAUUUACUUGGCGUAAAGAGCGCGCAGGCGGUCGUUCAAGUCGCGUGUGAAAGCCCCCGGCUCAACUGGGGAGGGUCACGCGAUACUGAUCGACUCGAAGGCAGGAGAGGGUAGUGGAAUUCCCGGUGUAGUGGUGAAAUGCGUAGAUAUCGGGAGGAACACCAGUGGCGAAGGCGACUACCUGGCCUGUUCUUGACGCUGAGGCGCGAAAGCUAGGGGAGCAAACGGG
rnacentral:rRNA from 1 species